GUUGAGACAGAACAGAAUGUUAAACUGGUAGUGUCCGAAAAUUUUACCUUGAUUUUGUGUUAAGAAUUUUUAAAGAGCUUUGGUGGAAUUAUACACCAUGAUAUGGCAUGAAAAUGCUACUAGAAAGUUUUAUAAAUAUUUUUCAAGGCUUACAUGAAUAUUUGAGAAUUUCCCUUCAAGGAAAAAGAUUUCAAGUUCAUAGAAUGACUUUUAAGUCAUUUGACUAUUGAGAUAAUUCAUUUAUAUUAUGUGAAAUAUUUGUUUAUUUGAAGCAUGAAUGAUUAAGUGAUUUUUGAAUGCUAUUUACCUAGGAUUGAGAGUCUUUUAAUUGGAUAAGAUAUCCGAUUAAAUUGGGAGGUCCAAUUGGGUAAAUAGUGGAGAAGUUAUAAGAUGAGAUUAAGCAUUGAUGCAAGUAUAAGUAUUGAGAUAUUAGUUAGAUGAAAUUCUAACUAGAGUUUAUUUUGUCACAUGGCAAUCUAAACCACGUGCGCCACCAAAGGUUCGAGUGACGGCCGGCGUUAGUACGACUCUGAGCGUUACGUCAUCGACCCCUGAGACAGGUCUGGCUUGGCGCGAGGAUGGGUGAAAGCUGUUGGAAUUGUCAGUUGGCUGUGUCUUUCCUAUGUCUCAUAUUUAUCUUUAUAAGCUUUGACUCUAUAAGAAUUUGAACUCCCUGCUAUAUGUCUUCACACAUAUAGUAACGCAUCUCGCUGCAUAACUCUGAUGAAACUCUUUAUUUAAUUUGCUUAUGUCUGUAAUAUCCCUUAAGGGAAAUACUUCUCAGACCCUUGCUAAGUUUCAAUGGCUUAAUCAUGUUUACCCAA